AACGAACGCUGGCGGCAGGCCUAACACAUGCAAGUCGAGCGAGGACUUCGGUCCUAGCGGCGGACGGGUGAGUAACGCGUGGGAACGUGCCCUUUGCUUCGGAAUAGCCCUGGGAAACUGGGAGUAAUACCGGAUGAGCCCUUUGGGGGAAAGAUUUAUCGGCGAAGGAUCGGCCCGCGUUGGAUUAGGUAGUUGGUGGGGUAAUGGCCUACCAAGCCGACGAUCCAUAGCUGGUUUGAGAGGAUGAUCAGCCACACUGGGACUGAGACACGGCCCAGACUCCUACGGGAGGCAGCAGUGGGGAAUCUUAGACAAUGGGGGAAGCCCUGAUCUAGCCAUGCCGCGUGAGCGAUGAAGGCCGUAGGGUUGUAAAGCUCUUUCAGCUGGGAAGAUAAUGACGGUACCAGCAGAAGAAGCCCCGGCUAACUCCGUG
rnacentral:rRNA from 1 species